CCCCCCCCGCGCCCACGCUGACGAUGCCGGUGGCCACGGUGACGCCCAUGCUGGCCGUGACAUCCAUGCCCAUGGCCGGCCGCGAGUACUCGCCCGCGGCCACCACGGCCGAGAACGGCGGAGGGAAGAGGAAGCAGAAGGAGAAGGAGCUGGACGAGCUGAAGAAGGAGGUCAACCUGGAUGAUCACAAACUGUCCCUGGAUGAGCUGGGCAGGAAGUACCAGGUGGACCUGUCACGGGUGAGAUGUCCC